AUGGCGGCGAUUUCGACCUGCAGAGGGCGACGGAACGAUGACCAUGGCAGAAGGGGCGUCCUCCUGUUGCUCUUGCUCCUGGCGAGGGAGGUAGAGAGAGAGAGAGAGAGAGAGAGAGAGAGAGAGAGAGAGAGCGAAACUGAGAUAGCGAGAGAGAGAGCAGGGAACCAGAUGAAAGGAAGGGCGCGCUGCGACCUGGAGAGACGAGGCGACCAGCGGCGGCCAUGGGAGCUCGCUGGUUGGGCUUGUGGUGAAAACGAGGAGGAGAUGGAUUUGGUUCGAGCGAUGGGGACCCCGAUGUUGGGGAAAGAGUGCGGCGGCGGCGGCUGGGAGGAUCCCUAG
rnacentral:rRNA from 1 species